UACGAAGGGGGCUAGCGUUGUUCGGAAUUACUGGGCGUAAAGCGCGCGCAGGUGGUCUUUCAAGUCAGUGGUGAAAGCCCGGAGCUCAACUCCGGAAAUGCCAUUGAAACUGUGAGACUUGAGGACGAGAGAGGUGAGUGGAAUUCCCAGUGUAGGGGUGAAAUUCGUAGAUAUUGGGAAGAACACCGGUGGCGAAGGCGGCUCACUGGCUCGUAUCUGACGCUCAGGCGCGACAGCGUGGGGAUCAAACAGG
rnacentral:rRNA from 1 species